UACGGGGGGGGCAAGCGUUGUUCGGAAUUACUGGGCGUAAAGGGCGCGCAGGCGGCCGCUCAAGUCAGAUGUGAAAGCCCCGGGCUCAACUUGGGAACUGCAUUUGAUACUGAGUGGCUAGAGUUCGGGAGAGGAGAGUGGAAUUCCCAGUGUAGAGGUGAAAUUCGUAGAUAUUGGGAAGAACACCGGUGGCGAAGGCGGCUCUCUGGACCGAUACUGACGCUGAGGCGCGAAAGCGUGGGGAGCAAACAGG
rnacentral:rRNA from 1 species